rnacentral:piRNA from 1 species
UUUGAUUCUAGCUCUAAAAAU